AUUGAGGACAACAUUUGUAAACUAAAGUAGCUCAGGAUCAUGGUCCUAGCUCCCUCUGGAUGCUUUGCUGUACCCCUCCAAGGAGAAGAACAUUUUCCUAGUCCUGGAAUCUCUUCAUCCAACAGAGGAUAUGGAGACUGCGAUGAUUUUAAUCUGGAGGAUGCGCUGAAAGAAACUUCAUCAGUAAAGCAUGACUCAAAGAAACAAGUCCACCAAGCAAACACAAGUGGUCGGCCAUGCACCACACUGACAAUCUUGCCUUCAGAAAAGUACACGCAUAUGAGACUAGCUGUGCCUCCAUCUACCUGUUUGUUCUGUUGUGCAAGGCUUGUGUCGUUUUGUCAUACGUGUGUCAUCUUCCUUUUUCAUUUAGAAAAUUUCAUAAUUUUCAUUAUGUUGAAACCACAAGAGAACAUGCAUCUGCCUUCGCCUUUUUUCUGCUGUACAAAAAGAGAACUCUGACCCGUUUCAUUCCUCUCACUGUUUUGUUUUGAGACAGGGUCUCUUGAUUUAGCCCGAGUUGUCCUGAAAUUCUCUGUGCCGAGAAGCCCGGCUUUGACUUGGGUCCAGUGCUAGAGCAACAGUGACUCUUGGCCACUGAUGUGCAUUUCUAGCUUCAGAACCCAUGACUUUUUAUGAUUCUUCAGUGUGAUCCCCACAAUGGCCUCGGGGACCUAUACUGAGACCAUUCUCACGAUGUGACUUUUGUAAACCAUAAAGCAGCCACUGUGUUUUACAAUCUGCUUCCUUUCGUCCUCCCUUCUCCCUUCAGAGAGCCACUUUAGCACCACGACUAGAAGGACAGGAACAACCAGAGCCCCAUCAAAUCCAGCAGAGAGAGGGGACCACAUCACCACUACUACAACGAGAAGGCCAGGAACAACUAGAGCACCAUCAAAUCCUAUGGAACUUGAUAGGUUUGACUUGGAAGAUGCCUUGGAUGAUCAGAAUGAUCUAGAUGGCCCCAAAAAGCAAAGUACAGGAGAAGGAGGAGGUUGAUCAGACAAGGAUCUCGAAGAUAUCUUGGGAGGCGGGGGAUACAAACCUGACAAGAAUAAAGGAAACUCCAAGACCACCAGUGUUUCAAGGUCUGGACCCGAGAUGGAGGUAUGUUACUGGGAGUGGAUUUUGAGGUUGCAAAGGCCCCCACCAUUCCCAGUUAGCAUUUGUUUUCUUCUACUUCUUCAUCAACAUCGGAGCUCUCAGCUGUCCAUGCCACAUGUUCUUGCUCUAAAACUCUGAAAUUGCAAGUCCCCAGUUAAAUAUGCUGUUCUAUAUGUCGCCUGGGUCACCUGUUUAGUCCUUCUUAGUUCUAGCAUUCUGUAAA